rnacentral:snoRNA from 1 species
AGCGCUUAGAGGAGGAGCCACGCAGGGUUGGUGGCAUCCUGGAGCACACCAGACUUGCCGAAAAGCAUACUCCAGAGGAAGCUGAGGCAUGCCUGCUCGAGAACCAGUGAUUCCAUGUGCAGUGUUCCUCUGAUAGUUUCUGGGUACUGUUGCCGUGGGAGUAAUGGCUGUGCUGUGUCAUUAUCAAUCCACCGACAGAGCAGCUUUGCAGUCAGGAUAUUGUUUAGCGGACUAGUGGGUUCUGUUGGACGCUAAGUACUGCUACAAAG